rnacentral:rRNA from 1 species
UGACCUCGGUUCAGACGUGAUUACCCGCUGAACUUAAGCAUAUCACUAAGCGGAGGAAAAGAAACUACCCGGGAAUCCAAAAAAAAAAAAAAAAAAAG